CCUACGGGAGGCAGCAGUGGGGAAUAUUGGUCAAUGGGCGAGAGCCUGAACCAGCCAAGCCGCGUGAAGGAUGAAGGAUCUAUGGUUUGUAAACUUCUUUUAUAUGGGAGUAAAGUGAGGAACGUGUUCCUUUUUGUAUGUACCAUAUGAAUAAGCAUCAGCUACCUCCGUGCCAGCAGCCGCGGUAAUACGGAGGAUGCGAGCGUUAUCCGGAUUUGUUGGGUGUAAAGGGCGCGUAGGUGGUAAAGUAAGUCAGCGGUGAAAGUUUGGGGCUCAACCAUAAAAUUGCAGUUGAAACUGGUUGACUUGAGUACAGGUGAGGUAGGCGGAAUGCGUGGUGUAGCGGUGAAAUGCAUAGAUAUCACGCAGAACUCCGAUGGCGAAGGCAGCUUACUAAACUAUAACUGACACUGAAGCACGAAAGCGUGGGGAUCAAACAGGAUUAGAUACCCGUGUAGUC
rnacentral:rRNA from 1 species